GCCCGGAUAGCUCAGUCGGUAGAGCUUUAAAGGCUUUUAACCUAAGGGCCAGGGUUCAAGUCCGUUCGGGCG